GUGCUUUUUGCUAGUACACAAAGCAAAUUUCAAAAAGUUGACUUUAGACUCCAAUUCUAAAUGUUAAGGACACAGAGGUUCUAUUUAUGACCACUUUCAACUGGACAAAAGGAUAAUCUAGGGUUGCCUUUAUCUCAUUGUUUUUCAUAAUAUUUAUGUCAUUUGCACAAUGUAACAUUUGCUAGGCAUAAGCAAAUAUCCAACUUGCACUCAGAAGAGGACAGAAUAGAAUCAUGGUCCUUGUCAGCUAGGAAGGAAGCACAUAGAAAUUCUGUGUGGGAAAAAAAAGUGUGAAGCCGAGAGAUGGGCAACGUGAAUCUAUAAUAUCUUUAUAAUGACGCCUUAAAUUCCAUGACUCUAGACCGCUAAAAUUUCAAGCAAUGGGUACUGUUUCUUCCUUACUCAAGCAACUGUACUGAAUUGUACUCAGGACUGGUAUAGAGAAUGGGAAACUGAUUGCAAAUCUAACUUGAGGAGUUCUACU
rnacentral:lncRNA from 1 species